GCGAGAGCAAGCGGACCUCAUAAAGUGCGUCGUAGUCCGGAUUGGAGUCUGCAACUCGACUCCAUGAAGUCGGAAUCGCUAGUAAUCGUGGAUCAGAAUGCCACGGUGAAUACGUUCCCGGGCCUUGUACACACCGCCCGUCACACCAUGGGAGUGGGUUGCAAAAGAAGUAGGUAGCUUAACCUUCGGGAGGGCGCUUACCACUUUGUGAUUCAUGACUGGGGUGAAGUCGUAACAAGGUAACCGUAGGGGAACCUGCGGUUGGA
rnacentral:rRNA from 1 species